rnacentral:rRNA from 1 species
AGACGUCUACAUUAGAUACCCGGGUAGUCCCAGCCGUAAACUAUGCGCGUUAGGUGUAUCGGUGACCACGAGUUACCGAGGUGCCGAAGGGAAACCGUGAAACGGGCCGCCUGGGAAGUACGGUCGCAAGGCUGAAACUUAAAGGAAUUGGCGGGGAGCACCACAACAGGUGGAGCCUGCGGUUUAAUUGGACUCAACGCCGGGAAGCUCACCGGAUAGGACAGCAGAAUGAUUGCCGGGCUGAAGACCCUGCAUGACUAGCUG